rnacentral:lncRNA from 1 species
GAGCAUCCUCAUCUCCGCAACCUUAAUUCUCUUAACAUGAGAGUUCUUCACUGCCAACACUCUGCCCCAUACAACAUGGCAGGUCUAACCACAACUCUAUAUAAUUUCUCCUUGAGUUUCUGUGGAACUUUCUUGUCACACAGGACUCCUGAUGCAAUCCUCCACUUUGACCACCCCGCUCCUAUACGAUGAGUGACGUCCCCGUCAAUCUCUCCGUCCCCCUGAAUCACCGACCCAAGAUAUCUGACACUGUCCCN